UACGUAGGGGGGCGAGCGUUGUCCGGAUUUAUUGGGCGUAAAGAGCGUGUAGGCGGCCAGGUAGGUCUGCUGUGAAAACUCGAGGCUCAACCUCGAGACGUCGGCGGAAACCAUCUGGCUAGAGUCCGGAAGAGGAGAGUGGAAUUCCUGGUGUAGCGGUGAAAUGCGCAGAUAUCAGGAGGAACACCAAUUGCGAAGGCAGCUCGCUGGGACGUUACUGACGCUGAGACGCGAAAGCGUGGGGGAGCAAACAGG
rnacentral:rRNA from 1 species